GNUCUUGGNCAUGGGCGCAAGCCUGNUCCAGCCAUGCCGCGUGAGUGAUGAAGGCCUUAGGGUUGUAAAGCUCUUUCAGCGGGGAAGAUAAUGACGGUACCCGCAGAAGAAGCCCCGGCUAACUUCGUGCCAGCAGCCGCGGUAAUACGAAGGGGGCUAGCGUUGCUCGGAAUCACNUGGGCGUAAAGCGCACGUAGGCGGCUUUCUAAGUCAGGGGUGAAAUCCUGGAGCUCAACUCCAGAACUGCCUUUGAUACUGGAGAGCUUGAGUCCGGGAGAGGUGAGUGGAACUCCGAGUGUAGAGGUGAAAUUCGUAGAUAUUCGGAAGAACACCAGUGGCGAAGGCGGCUCACUGGCCCGGUACUGACGCUGAUGUGCGAAAGCGUGGGGAGCAAACAGGAUUAGAUACCCUGGUAGUCCACGCCGUAAACGAUGGAUGCUAGCCGUUGGCGGGUUUACCCGUCAGUGGCGCAGCUAACGCAUUAAGCAUCCCGCCUGGGGAGUACGGUCGCAGAUUAAACUCAAAGAAUUGACGG
rnacentral:rRNA from 1 species